rnacentral:rRNA from 1 species
GACGAACGCUGGCGGCGUGCUUAACACAUGCAAGUCGAACGGAAAGGCCCUGCUUUUGUGGGGUGCUCGAGUGGCGAACGGGUGAGUAACACGUGAGUAACCUGCCCUUGACUUUGGGAUAACUUCAGGAAACUGGGGCUAAUACCGGAUAGGAGCUCCUGCUGCAUGGUGGGGGUUGGAAAGUUUCGGCGGUUGGGGAUGGACUCGCGGCUUAUCAGCUUGUUGGUGGGGUAGUGUCUUACCAAGGCUUUGACGGGUAGCCGGCCUGAGAUGGUGACCGGCCACAUUGGUACUGAGAUCCGGCCCAGACCCCUACGGGAGGCAGCAGUGGGGAAUAUUGCACAAUGGGCUGAAGCCUGAUGCAGCAACGCCGCGUGCGGGAUGACGGCCUUCGGGUUGUAAUCCGCUUUCGCCUGUGACGAAGCGUGAGUGGCGGUAAUGGGUAAAGAAGCACCGGCUAACUACGUG